UUGGAGCCUCUCACUCUUAAUUGGGAUCGUGACCUCAAACUUUCUCCUUUUUCUUCCCUGUCUUCCAUUUACAGAGCUUGCCUCAGCAGCACAGACCAAGAGUGUCCUUAUAAGGGGAGACCUCUUACCCUCAAACAUCUUUCCUUGCUGCCUGAAAUGCCACCAGACACAGAUUUAUUUGAACCACCAAGCAAAUGCCUAUGGAAGGCCUAAGAAUUGGAUCUUCCCACUUCCUUCCACAAAAUAAGACAUGAAAGGGACAAGGAGAACCCCAUAGGCAAGCAGAUGCUCCAUCAAAUAUUGUCAAUAGCUGGUGACAUAACACAGUAAGUGAUUAACAAUAAAAAAAUUGAGUAUUCAUUUUUUUUCCAAUUUAUUUAUUUUCAGAAAAACAGUAUUCAUUAUUUUUUCACCACACCCAGUGCUCCAUGCAAUCCGUGCCCUCUAUAAUACCCACCACCUGGUACCCCGCCC
rnacentral:lncRNA from 1 species